GAUGAAGAACGUAGCGAAAUGCGAUAAGUAGUGUGAAUUGCAGAAUUCAGUGAAUCAUCGAAUCUUUGAACGCACAUUGCGCCCCUUGGUAUUCCAUGGGGCAUGCCUGUUCGAGCGUCAUUUGUACCUUCAAGCUCUGCUUGGUGUUGGGUGUUUGUCUCGCCUCUGCGUGUAGACUCGCCUCAAAACAAUUGGCAGCCGGCGUAUUGAUUUCGGAGCGCAGUACAUCUCGCGCUUUGCACUCGUAACGACGACGUCCAAAAGUACAUUUUUACACUCUUGACCUCGGAUCAGGUAGGGAUACCCGCUGAACUUAAGCAUAUCAAUAAGCGGAGGA
rnacentral:misc_RNA from 1 species